AUUAAUUCGAUGCAACGCGAAAAACCUUACCUACCCUUGACAUGGAUGGAAUCCUGAAGAGAUUUGGGAGUGCUCGAAAGAGAACCAUCACACAGGUGCUGCAUGGCUGUCGUCAGCUCGUGUCGUGAGAUGUUGGGUUAAGUCCCGCAACGAGCGCAACCCUUGUCAUUAGUUGCUACGAAAGGGCACUCUAAUGAGACUGCCGGUGACAAACCGGAGGAAGGUGGGGAUGACGUCAAGUCCUCAUGGCCCUUAUGGGUAGGGCUUCACACGUCAUACAAUGGUACAUACAGAGGGCCGCCAACCCGCGAGGGGGAGCUAAUCCCAGAAAGUGUAUCGUAGUCCGGAUUGGAGUCUGCAACUCGACUCCAUGAAGUUGGAAUCGCUAGUAAUCGCGGAUCAGCAUGUCGCGGUGAAUACGUUCCCGGGUCUUGUACACACCGCCCGUCACACCAUGGGAGCGGGUUUUACCAGAAGUGGGUAGCCUAACCGCAAGGAGGGCGCUCACCACGGUAGGAUUCGUGACUGGGGUGAAGUCGUAACAA
rnacentral:rRNA from 1 species